rnacentral:tRNA from 1 species
GCUCUGAUAGUAUAACUAUUACCCUGGUCUUGUAAACCAAAAAUGAAGAACCCAUCUUCUCAGAGCACUA